AAAAUUCAGGUAGAGGCCUUGUCCACCUAAUUUUAAUACGUUCAAAUGAAAGAGAGAAACACAGUGGAAGAUUAAGAGUCACGCUUGACACUUCCAAGAAAAGCAGUUCCUUGUUGAUCACGGCUUCCCGGGCAGCAGACACUGCUUCUUACUUCUGUGCUACGGGGCACUGCCAGUAAACUCACCUUUGGGACUGGAACAAGACUUCAGGUCACGCUCGAUAUCCAGAACCCUGACCCUGCCGUGUACCAGC
rnacentral:lncRNA from 1 species